rnacentral:misc_RNA from 1 species
GAUGAAGAACGCAGCGAAAUGCGAUAAGUAAUGUGAAUUGCAGAAUUCAGUGAAUCAUCGAAUCUUUGAACGCACAUUGCGCCCCCUGGUAUUCCGGGGGGCAUGCCUGUCCGAGCGUCAUUACAACCCUCAAGCUCAGCUUGGUGUUGGGCCCCGCCGCCCCGGCGGGCCCUAAAGUCAGUGGCGGUGCCGUCCGGCUCCGAGCGUAGUAAUUCUUCUCGCUCUGGAGGUCCGGUCGUGUGCUCGCCAGCAACCCCCAAUUUUUUUCAGGUUGACCUCGGAUCAGGUAGGGAUACCCGCUGAACUUAAGCAUAUCAAUAAGCGGGA